GUUUCCUAUAUCAAAAUCCCACAUGCUACAUACAACCAUUCACUUUUCUACUUAUUUAUUGGCUGCUUAUUAUAUGCAAAAGAAUUUACCAAUACAGCAUGGAAGAUACUGAGAAAAAUAGAUGUAGAUUUUUAUUACAUUAAAUAGGCAAGUAUAAUGCAUUUAUGCAAGGAUUAGGUUUCAGAGGAGACAGAGUUAGAAUUUUAUGACACGUUGCAAAGGAACAAGGGCUCUUACCCAGUGGGAUAUCUUCCAAGCCCCAAGUAUGUGGCUUCUAAAGCUAAACUUGGAGCUUGGGUUCUUGAAGUUGAGCUGAAUAGAGUGAGGUUGCUCUCUAGUGUGAUGAUAUAUUGGGAAUUGUCAGCAGAUGUUAAAACGUAGCAUCAGACCAGAUGGGGCCAGACAGGGGAUUAAAAACUGAAUCUGAAGCCAAAGGUCCUUAGAAAAAAGUAGCAAAAUGGAGGCAAGAGGACAAGAGAUGAC
rnacentral:lncRNA from 1 species